ensembl:lncRNA
ACCAGUGCAUGAAAUGCAAACGUUAAGAAAGGAAGAAGAAAAGAAAGAAGAGUGAAAGAAGGAAAUAAGAAAGGAAAGAAGAGUGAAAGAAGGAAAUAAGAAAGGAAAGAAGAGUAAAGAAAGGAAAGAAGAAAGGAAAGAAGAAAGGAAAGAGGAAAAAAAGAAAAGUAUAAGAAGGAAAGAAGAAAGGAAAGAAAAGUGGAAGAAGUAAAGAAGAAGGAAAGAAGAAAAGAAAGAAGAGUGAAGAAAGAAAAGAAGAGUGGAAGAAGGAAAGAAGAAAAAAAAAGAAAAGUGAAAGAAGGAAAGAAGAGUGAAAGAAGGAAAAAAGAGUGGAAGAAGGAAAGAAAGAAGAGUGAAAGAAGGAAAGAAGAGUGGAAGAAGGAAAGAAGAAAAGAAAGAAGAAGGAAAGAAGAGUGGAAGAAGGAAAGAAGAAAGGAAAGAAGAGUGGAAGAAGGAAAGAAGAGUGGAAGAAGAGUGAAGAAAGAAAAGAAGAGUAGAAGAAGGAAAGAAGAGUGGAAGAAGGAAAGAAGAGUGAAGAAAGAAAAGAAGAGUAGAAGAAGGAAAGAAGAGUGGAAGAAGGAAAGAAGAAAGGAAAGAAGAGUGAAGAAAGGAAAGAAGAAAAGA